AACGAACGCUGGCGGCAUGCCUAACACAUGCAAGUCGAACGAGACCUUCGGGUCUAGUGGCGCACGGGUGCGUAACGCGUGGGAACCUGCCCUUAGGUUCGGAAUAACUCCCCGAAAGGGGUGCUAAUACCGGAUAAUGUCUUCGGACCAAAGAUUUAUCGCCUUUGGAUGGGCCCGCGUUGGAUUAGCUAGUUGGUAGGGUAAAAGCCUACCAAGGCGACGAUCCAUAGCUGGUCUGAGAGGAUGAUCAGCCACACUGGGACUGAGACACGGCCCAGACUCCUACGGGAGGCAGCAGUGGGGAAUAUUGGACAAGGGGCGAAAGCCUGAUCCAGCAAUGCCGCGUGAGUGAGGAAGGCCUUAGGGUUGUAAAGCUCUUUUACCCGGGAUGAUAAUGACAGUACCGGGAGAAUAAGCUCCGGCUAACUCCGUG
rnacentral:rRNA from 1 species